rnacentral:misc_RNA from 1 species
UUACAAAAUAUCUCGUUGGUGGGAUCUUUGAUUUCUAUGUCUUGAAGUGAUUUUAUUAAGGGUCCCCCUACCCCACCUAUCUCUAAGACGAAUUAAUGGUCCCUUGGUGAGCAUCUGAGAUCCAUUUACCUUGCAAUGAACUAUGCAAAGUGGUCCUACAAAAUAUCAUCCUUGAUGCAAUCGCAAUAGCUCCCAGUUUCAUGUCACCCUGUGCUAAUAUCUGUCUCUUCCGUAUGUUUUUGGUGAAUUGUUCCUGUUUUCUUUUUGGCUCCUAACUGUCUUGUUAGUUUUGACAUGCUAUUACUUUAAAAGUUCUAAAAUGCAGUUUUAUAGCUUUUGUUUCCUUUAAACAACUGAGCUGUGUGAUUGAAGAUCUUUAACAAAAUAUAAAGUGUACAUGGUAUUAUUAUUCCAAUUAUUUUUGGUUGCAUGCCAUUCCUUGUUGAGUCAUGGAUAAUUUUUAGACUAGGCAUUAAUAAUUUUGAGAUUGGGACAUAGUUAAAUCCACCAGUGCUUUUGUUAUCCUUUUGAGGACACCAUAAGAAUAAAAAAGCUUAGGAAGCGAAGCUGUCUUCUUGCACAAGUUCCAUGAAGCCCCUAAGCCAAGCAUUGGUUCCUUGUUAGCUUUUAGAACUGCAGAAACCAGAUGCUCAUCUCUUGUACCUAAGACCAAAACUCUUCCUAUGUUAACCUUUUUCUAUGAAACUCCAGUUAACAUGAUCAUCUGCCUUCCCAAAAUAUAAUUUGAGAAUUAGACUUUUCCAAUUUUCCUUUUAACCGCUUAAUUUGAAAAUGGGGCUGCAUCCCCAAUUUGUAUUUGUUUAUUAAUGACAUUCCGAGUGCUAGAAUUGGCCAAUUGGGUAUCUUCAAGCACAACACAAACCCUAUUAGUGAGAGCCUUAGUCAAGAUUUUUUAAACGCCAGUAAGAAAACUAGAAGACCUAAAAUGGAUGUGUGCAGACAAA